UGCCUACGGGUGGCUGCAGUGGGGAAUAUUGCGCAAUGGGCGAAAGCCUGACGCAGCGACGCAGCGUGAGGGACGAAGGCCUUCGGGUUGUAAACCUCUUUCAGCGGGGACGAAGCGAAAGUGACGGUACCCGCAGAAGAAGCACCGGCUAACUACGUGCCAGCAGCCGCGGUAAUACGUAGGGUGCAAGCAUUGUCCGGAUUUAUUGGGCGUAAAGAGCUCGUAGGCGGCUUGUCACGUCGGAUGUGAAACCUCGGGGCUCAACCCCGAGCCUGCAUUCGAUACGGGCUAGCUAGAGUGUUGCAGGGGAGACUGGAAUUCCUGGUGUAGCGGUGAAAUGCGCAGAUAUCAGGAGGAACACCGGUGGCGAAGGCGGGUCUCUGGGCAACUACUGACGCUGAGGAGCGAAAGCGUGGGGAGCGAACAGGAUUAGAUACCCCAGUAGUC
rnacentral:rRNA from 1 species